rnacentral:rRNA from 1 species
AACGAACGCUGGCGGCAGGCUUAACACAUGCAAGUCGAGCGCCCCGCAAGGGGAGCGGCAGACGGGUGAGUAACGCGUGGGAAUCUACCGAGCCCUACGGAAUAACGCAUGGAAACGUGUGCCAAUACCGUAUACGCCCUACGGGGGAAAGAUUUAUCGGGGUUUGAUGAGCCCGCGUUGGAUUAGCUAGUUGGUGGGGUAAAGGCCUACCAAGGCGACGAUCCAUAGCUGGUCUGAGAGGAUGAUCAGCCACAUUGGGACUGAGACACGGCCCAAACUCCUACGGGAGGCAGCAGUGGGGAAUAUUGGACAAUGGGCGCAAGCCUGAUCCAGCCAUGCCGCGUGAGUGAUGAAGGUCUUAGGAUU